GCGGACUUAGGACGGGCUGCGAGCCUUCAGGCCAAAUGAUGAACCUUACACACAAGGCUGUCCGGACAGCCCCUUGUCCGGUUGAACAAUUUGUCACGAAGACUUCACACUGAAAAAGAAAUAUAGUAUGGGAGGUAAUAAACGUCCCCAUGCCUUGCUUUAGUUGACUUACACAAACAAAACAGUCCUUUAGAAAUAGUAAACUCUUGGUACACACUUUGCUAGAAAAUUGUUACUUAUCGAUGAUUCUCUCUCUCUCCCUCCUGACGGUUCGGGAAUCUUCUCCCCGUCCAGUCAAAAUCACGCCAUCUAUGUCGAGAUUAGGAAAUUCACAAAAAAAUUCUUUCGUCCGACCUGACCCUAAGAAUGAUAGAAUCGAACACUGCUCAAUUGUGUGAGGAGAAAACCCACCAGCCAACUGGACUAGCUCCCUUCCUACGAAAAAUAAUGGGAACACCACAAAAGAGAACAAAUUCAUGUCCACUAAUUCCAAUACUUGAAGAACUGAAUCACUCGCCGAUUAAGAAGACAAAGAAAAUAAGAAGAAAAAACAAAAAAGAACCAAGAAAAAUUCACAUAUAUACCAUGGAUUUUUUGUUGCAUUUGAUGUUGAGCUUCUCCCAUAUUGGAGUUGUAAACUGAUGUAGUUAUUCCCUUAACCAGCUGAAACUCUAUGGAAUGAGAAAAAACUUGGUCUCCACUACAAUAUACCAACAGAAAUUUGAAAAGAUCCCCGUAAUUGGGCUGUGGAAUUGAGCUCCGAUAAAUCGACUUGUG